AUACCUUUCUUGGCCUUUUGGCUAAGAUCAAGUGUAAUAUUUGUUCUUAUUAAUUUAAUAUCUAAUACGUGGGUCAGUGGCCUAUAUGAUAUUAAUUCUAUUUUUAAAGGGAAAAGACCUAUUAAGGUAACUUGCUAUCUAGGUUUUCAUGCGUCACCUUGGCGUUGCACUGCCUCGGCUUGGCGCACCCCAC
rnacentral:snRNA from 1 species